rnacentral:rRNA from 2 species
UGCACAAUGGGCGAACCUGAUGCAGCUAUACCGCGUGUAUGAAGAAGGCCUUAGGGUUGUAAAGUACUUUCGUUGGGGAGGAAAAAUAAAUAGAUAAUACCUGUUUAUCGUGACGUUACCCAAAAAAGAAGCACCGGCUAACUCCGUGCCAGCAGCCGCGGUAAUACGGAGGGUGCAAGCGUUAAUCAGAAUUACUGGGCGUAAAGAGCUCGUAGGCGGUUUUUUAAGUCAGAUGUGAAAUCCCUGGGCUUAACCUAGGAACUGCAUUUGAAACUAAAAGACUAGAGUAUCGUAGAGGGAGGUAGAAUUCUAGGUGUAGCGGUGAAAUGCGUAGAUAUCUGGAGGAAUACCUGUGGCGAAAGCGGCCUCCUAAAUGAAUACUGACGCUGAGGUGCGAAAGCAUGGGGAGCAAACAGGAUUAGAUACCCUGGUAGUCCAUGCCGUAAACGAUGUCGACUUGGAGGUUGUUUCCUUGAGAAGUGACUUCCGAAGCUAACGCGUUAAGUCGACCGCCUGGGGAGUACGGUCGCAAGGCUAAAACUCAAAUGAAUUGACGGGGGCCCGCACAAGCGGUGGAGCAUGUGGUUUAAUUCGAUGCAACGCGAAAAACCUUACCUGGUCUUGACAUCCACAGAAUUUUUCAGAGAUGAAAAAGUGCCUUAGGGAACUGUGAGACAGGUGCUGCAUGGCUGUCGUCAGCUCGUGUUGUGAAAUGUUGGGUUAAGUCCCGCAACGAGCGCAACCCUUAUCCUCUGUUGCCAUUGGUUCGGCCAGGAACUCAGAGGAGACUGCCGGUUAUAAACCGGAGGAAGGCGGGGACGACGUCAAGUCAUCAUGGCCCUUACGACCAGGGCUACACACGUGCUACAAUGGUGUAUACAAAGAGAAGCAACUCUGCAAAGACAAGCAAACCUCAUAAAGUACAUCGU